UACGAAGGGGGCUAGCGUUGCUCGGAAUUACUGGGCGUAAAGCGCACGUAGGCGGAUAUUUAAGUCAGGGGUGAAAUCCCAGAGCUCAACUCUGGAACUGCCUUUGAUACUGGGUAUCUUGAGUAUGGAAGAGGUAAGUGGAAUUGCGAGUGUAGAGGUGAAAUUCGUAGAUAUUCGCAGGAACACCAGUGGCGAAGGCGGCUUACUGGUCCAUAACUGAC
rnacentral:rRNA from 1 species